UACGUAGGGGGCAAGCGUUGUCCGGAUUUAUUGGGCGUAAAGAGCGUGUAGGCGGUUUGGUAGGUCCGUUGUGAAAACUCGAGGCUCAACCUCGAGACGCCGAUGGAAACCCUCGAACUAGAGUCCGGAAGAGGAGAGUGGAAUUCCUGGUGUAGCGGUGAAAUGCGCAGAUAUCAGGAAGAACACCAAUGGCGAAGGCAGCACUCUGGGACGGUACUGACGCUGAGACGCGAAAGCGUGGGGAGCAAACAGG
rnacentral:rRNA from 1 species